rnacentral:tRNA from 1 species
GCCCGAGUGGUGAAAUUGGUAGACGCUGUGGACUCAAAAUCCACCAAUAGUGAUAUUGUGACGGUUCGAGUCCGUCCUCGGGCACCA